GUUCUUGCUUCAGCAGCACAUAUACUAAAAUUGGACCAACACAGAGAAGAUUGGCAUGGUCCUUGUGCAAGAAUGGCAUGCAAAUUCAUGAAGCAUAUAUAUAUAU
rnacentral:snRNA from 1 species